rnacentral:rRNA from 1 species
AUUGAACGCUGGCGGCAUGCCUUACACAUGCAAGUCGAACGGCAGCACGGGAGCAAUCCUGGUGGCGAGUGGCGAACGGGUGAGUAAUACAUCGGAACGUGCCCAGUAGGGGGGGAUAACUAGUCGAAAGAUUAGCUAGUACCGCAUACGACCUGAGGGUGAAAGCGGAGGACCGUAAGGCCCUGCGCUACAGGCUCGGCCGAUGGCUGUUUAGCUAGUUGGUGGGGUAAGAGCCUACCAACGCGACGAUCAGUAGCUGGUCUGAGAGGACGAUCAGCCACACUGGGACUGAGACACGGCCCAGACUCCUACGGGAGGUAGCAGUGGGGAAUUUUGGACAAUGGGGGCAACCCUGAUCCAGCAAUGCCGCGUGAGUGAAGAAGGCCUUCGGGUUGUAAAGCUCUUUUGUCAGGGAAGAAACGGGAGUGGCUAAUAUCCAUUCCUAAUGACGGUACCUGAAGAAUAAGCACCGGCUAACUACGUGCCAGCAGCCGCCGUAA